UACGAGGGGGGCAAGCGUUGUUCGGAAUUAUUGGGCGUAAAGGGCGCGUAGGCGGCAAUUCAAGUCAUCUGUGAAAUCUCCGGGCUUAACCCGGAACGGUCAGAUGAUACUGCUUUGCUAGAGUGCGGAAGGGGCAAUCGGAAUUCUUGGUGUAGCGGUGAAAUGCGUAGAUAUCAAGAGGAACACCUGAGGUGAAGACGGGUUGCUGGGCCGACACUGACGCUGAUAGCGCGAAAGCCAGGGGAGCAAACGGG
rnacentral:rRNA from 1 species